CCUACGGGAGGCAGCAGUGGGGAAUAUUGCACAAUGGGGGAAACCCUGAUGCAGCGACGCCGCGUGAGUGAAGAAGUAUUUCGGUACGUAAAGCUCUAUCAGCAGGGAAGAAAAUGACGGUACCUGACUAAGAAGCCCCGGCUAACUACGUGCCAGCAGCCGCGGUAAUACGUCGGGGGCAAGCGUUAUCCGGAUUUACUGGGUGUAAAGGGAGCGUAGACGGCAGCGCAAGUCUGGAGUGAAAUCCCAUGGCUUAACCAUGGAACUGCUUUUGAAACUGUGCAGCUAGAGUGCAGGAGAGGUAAGCGGAAUUCCUAGUGUAGCGGUGAAAUGCGUAGAUAUUAGGAGGAACACCAGUGGCGAAGGCGGCUUACUGGACUGUAACUGACGUUGAGGCUCGAAAGCGUGGGGAGCAAACAGGAUUAGAUACCCUUGUAGUC
rnacentral:rRNA from 1 species